rnacentral:rRNA from 1 species
AUUGAACGCUGGCGGCAUGCCUAACACAUGCAAGUCGAACGGCAGCAUGCCUUUGUAGCAAUACGAAGGUGAUGGCGAGUGGCGGACGGGUGAGUAACGCGUAGGAAUCUGCCCUAAAGUGGGGGGAUAACUCAGCGAAAGUUGAGCUAAUACCGCAUAAUCUCUUUGGAGUAAAGCAGGGGAUCUUCGGACCUUGUGCUUUGGGAUGAGCCUGCGUAAGAUUAGCUAGUUGGUAGGGUAAGAGCCUACCAAGGCUACGAUCUUUAGCUGGUCUGAGAGGACGACCAGCCACAUUGGGACUGAGACACGGCCCAAACUCCUACGGGUGGCUG